CUGUACACCGACCACUAGGGGGCGCCCAUCUCUGGACGUUUCCGGUGUAUGUCAAGCCUUGGUAAGGUUCUUCGCGUUGCGUCGAAUUAAGCCACAUGCUCCGCCGCUUGUGCGGGCCCCCGUCAAUUCCUUUGAGUUUUAGCCUUGCGGCCGUACUCCCCAGGCGGGGCACUUAAUGCGUUAGCUGCGGCACGGACGACGUGGAAUGUCGCCCACACCUAGUGCCCACCGUUUACGGCGUGGACUACCAGGGUAUCUAAUCCUGUUCGCUCCCCACGCUUUCGCUCCUCAGCGUCAGUAUCGGCCCAGAGAUCCGCCUUCGCCACCGGUGUUCCUCCUGAUAUCUGCGCAUUUCACCGCUACACCAGGAAUUCCGAUCUCCCCUACCGAACUCUAGCCUGCCCGUAUCGACUGCAGACCCGGGGUUAAGCCCCGGGCUUUCACAACCGACGCGACAAGCCGCCUACGAGCUCUUUACGCCCAAUAAUUCCGGACAACGCUCGCGCCCUACGUAUUACCGCGGCUGCUGGCACGUAGUUAGCCGGCGCUUCUUCUGCAGGUACCGUCACUUUCGCUUCUUCCCUGCUGAAAGAGGUUUACAACCCGAAGGCCGUCAUCCCUCACGCGGCGUCGCUGCAUCAGGCUUUCGCCCAUUGUGCAAUAUUCCCCACUGCUGCCUCCCGUAGGAGUCUGGGGCCGUGUCUCAGUCCCAGUGUGGCCGGUCGCCCUCUCAGGCCGGCUACCCGUCGUC
rnacentral:rRNA from 1 species